rnacentral:lncRNA from 10 species
CUCCUGUUCUUGUUCAAUCUCUGAAAAUCUUGCGGUUUCUGGAUAAAUGCCAGUGACCCCCUAAAAAGUGAUUCCCUCAGCUUUUAAAAUAAUAGAAGAAACACAUGGAGCUUAUAUGGAGUUCAUACUUCAUCUUAGGAAAAAAAAAUCUACAGCUUUUGUUUUACAAUGUCUUAUUAUUUCAUUAGCAUUUGCAACUGAAAUAGGAAUAAAUCAAAAUUCACGAAGAUGUUUGAUCCCCACUUCUUGGAUGUUAAACAGAGAAUGACCUGGGCUGUGAAAUCUACAGCUGUGCACACAGUUUUCUACAAUGUAUGUACUUAAGUGCCAUACAGUUCUUAAAGGAUAAUUAAUCAUUGCUACCCAUCAUCAACCCUACAGAAAGCAACUAGUUUCUUGCAUGUGCCGUGUUCUCUCCCACCAUUGGAACCUCAUGUAGGCUCUUCACUGUGCCUAAGGCACCUGUCCAUCUCAAACUCCAUUGUCAUCCUCUCAACUUUCAAGUAAUUCAGCUCAAUUGUCACCACUUCUCAGAAGUUUCCCAGGACCCCUCAUAUUAGGUUAAAACCAUUAUAUGCUCCUAACACCCAGGACAUCCUCCAAAACACUUUGUAUCUAUGACAUCAUUAAAUUGUUCCUUCUGUGCUCACUUCUAAUCUCCAUAACAACAGGAACGCUGUUUGUGCAUUUAUGCAUCCCAGCAUGUGACAAAGCGUUUGUCACACAUUGUUGCUUAAGUUGCAUAUAUUUCCAGUCCCACCUGUAUGAACUUACUCUAGUAAAAAUUAAACCCCAAGGGAAGAGCCUUGGUGCCUCCAAGCCUCUAAGAAAAAGUUUCUAAAAAUGAGCAGAGGGGGAAUAUAUUUUUUACAAAGAAUGUUUUGACGGGUACCUCUUAAGUUUGCAUUUUCCAAAAUGUUCCUUGUUCCCUUGCCUGAAUAAACUUUCACUGAUUCCCUGAUUCCCAUUCUAAUACCCAAACCAGGCAAAGAUCAUAAUUCACAGGAGUAAUAUUUGCAGAUUAAAAUAAAAACAGCCACAUUCUGCAAGUAACAUUGAUGUCUGGCAAAAUGUCUCCGCCAGAAAAAUAUGUGAAUGUCGGAUGCUUUGCAGGACACGGCCAAAUUCCUUUUAUUCUCUCAGAAAUAUAGCAGGGUAGUGCACAUUCUGAUUUGGAUGUACUCCCACUUUCUGGAGUAAGGGAAAAUACAAUAAAAACCUGGACGAUGAUCUCAUGGAAUCCUCAAUUUGUCAAGAUGCAUCUCUUCUAAGUGGCUUUUUUUCAAAGCUUGAGAUGCUUCCAAAAUAUUUAUAAAAAGCAGCAGGGCUCUUAAAAGUUAGGAGACAAUCAAAGACCUCCAAGAAAAAGAAGAAAGCACGGUUGCUUUGCAACCUCCAACAAAGAAGGAAUGAGGGAGGGCAAGCAGGUAUGAGCCAUGGGGGAAAAUUGGGAAGCUCAGCACACUUAUGCUUGGCACAUCACACUUUUCUUUUGGAAUCACAUUCUACGGGAGUGAACAUUUGCUUUCGAACCUUAUUAACCUAGCUGGUAAUUAAGUCUGAAGUGUGAGCAUUGGCAGAAGAUAUUUGACAUUUAGGCAGCGCAUAAACCAUUUUCUUGUCUAACUCUUUUUCUUUUUUUCUUUGUUAUUACAUAUGUUAAAGACAAUACAUUUUUCUCCAUGAAGAAGAAAAUUUUAAAAUAUUAUCUAUUAUCUUAUGACCCCAAAAUAACUUCUAACAUUUUAAGAGAUGUCUUCUCUCUAGCCUCUGAAUGUGUGUCUACACACACACACACACACACACACACACA